UCUGGUGCCAGCAGCCGCGGUAACACCAGCUCCAAUAGCGUAUAUUAAAGUUGUUGCGGUUAAAAAGCUCGUAGUUGAAUCUGUGUCCCACACUGUCGGUUCACCGCUCGCGGUGUUCAACUGGCAUGUCUGUGGGACGUCCUACCGGUGGGCGCAGCCCGUCAAAAGGCGGCCCAACUCAAAAUCCUACCACGGUGCUCUUCACCGAGUGUCGAGGUGGGCCGGUACGUUUACUUUGAACAAAUUAGAGUGCUUAAAGCAGGCUCAUUCGCCUGAAUAUUCUGUGCAUGGAAUAAUGGAAUAGGACCUCGGUUCUAUUUUGUUGGUUUUCGGAACUCCGAGGUAAUGAUUAAUAGGGACAACUGGGGGCAUUCGUAUUGCGACGUUAGAGGUGAAAUUCUUGGAUCGUCGCAAGACGGACAGAAGCGAAAGAAAUGUGUUUUCAUCAAUCAAGAACGAAAGUUAGAGGUUCGAAGGCGAUCAGAUACCGCCCUAGUUCUAACCAUAAACUAUGCCAGCUAGCGAUCCGCCGAAGUUCCUCCGAUGACUCGGCGGGCAGCUUCCGGGAAACCAAAGCUUUUGGGUUCCGGGGGAAGUAUGGUUGCAAAGCUGAAACUUAAAGGAAUUGACGGAAGGGCACCACCAGGAGUGGAGCCUGCGGCU
rnacentral:rRNA from 1 species